AUGCACAGUAGCUAUAUUCAUAUCCGAUAGAAGGACUGGGCUCCUAUUGAGAGAAGAAAAGCCAGCUGUUGGAUUGGCUGUUCCCUUCUGGGUCCCCAUUCCUCCACAGAUUUCCUGGUUAUUUGAAAUUUCCUGAUUAUUCUCCAACGUGCCUUUUUGAGGGGAGGGAAGGACAGGAGAAGGAAAGAGGAGUCGUUUACUGGAUUCGGAUCCUAUAACCAAUCCUUUUUCUCCUAGCGUUUUCAUUUGCUCUGCUUCUGGGGACUUUGCCGGGAAAUACCACUUGUCAGAAGGAGCCCGGGAAAGUGGAGGUGGAGGGCGUGACUGGAGCAAGUCCUCUAUUCCCCGUCUCUGGAGGGAAAACUUAGAGGGCAGGUGGGGCUGGGGGUCCCCAGGAGAGAGCGAGGCCUGUGCGGGACUAGUUUGGAGAUUCUGCUGGAGAAGGUGCGCGUGGGAAAGGCGCAGCCGGGCGAACUUGCCGGGAAUUGGAGAUUAGGACGCGGGGAGAAGAACACCUCGCUCCCCACGACACAGGCCCGUGUUGCUGUUCUGAGUACGGCUGACCCGGGGCGCUGAGCCCCGCGCUCUUCGGCGGAGAGGAAUCCCGGGUCGACCGUUACUCACUGCGUGCUUCGCCGACACCCUCACACGCGCUGUCCCGCCCGAGCGCCUCCCGGCACCACCGGCGCCCGGACCGGGAACUCGGCCCUGCAGCUGCCGGCUGCGCGGGGCCCAAGGGCUCCCGGCAGGAGAAGCCGGGCCUUCGCGCCAGCGAGGUCUGCGGAGGAUCCGCCCCGGCCGGGAGAAGCAGGACGGAGGCGCGGGGAGCUGCGCCUGCGCGCGCAGUGGAAACGCUCAGCGCGGGGCCGCCACCCGCCGCUUCCCUGUCGCUCUCCUCCCAAAGCCGCCGAGGUGGAGUCGGCUCCCCAGGAGGAGGGAAAUCGGCUUCCUCCGGUAUCCACUUAAGAAUUCGUGUCACUGGGGUUUAUUUAGCGCGUAUUAUGUGCCAAGCGCCGGGGCAAAGCACUUUACGAGCUUUAUUAUCCCCCCAACCACCCGAUGAGGGGGCUACGAUGCCCAUUUACAGGCGAGGAGACUGUGCUCAGGCAGAUGAAGACACUUGCUGGGACCCGAAGCUGAUGGGAAGUGGGAUCCGGGCUUAUGCUGGAUCUGUCUGACCUCACAGUUUCUCUCUCCUGGGCUUAUGGCCCAAGAAUGGCUUCGAAUUGGGAGUCAAACAGGUUCCCUCCACACCUUCUUCAACAUUAAAAAUGAUAGCCAUAGUAAUCAGGUUCAUAAAGUUUAGUGACCAAGUCCUUCCUAAGGAGUGAAGAUUUCCACUCUUGUCCUGCAUGCACCCUCAGCCCUUCACGGAUUCCCAGUCUCCCCUCGGAGGGAUGUCCUUCAGGUGAUUCUGAGGGGUUGGGAAUCAGGCUGGUAGCUCCCAGCCCUUAUCUGCUCCCCCCAUCCCCCAAGCUUGGGACCAUUUCCAAAGUUGCUUGAGAGGCCCCAGUGAACUUUAUCUUUAUCUGGGACGAGAGAAACAACGCCCCAAGGGAUGUUCCUUCCUUGGCCUGGAGUGGGCAGAGUGGCUGCCCCCAAGGAAGGCCACCGCUGGAUUCCUAGCAGGAGAGAGCAAGAGGGUUUCAGAACUUCCCUCCUCUCGGCCCCACUCCUUUCCUCCCUCCCUCUCCUGGCUACCCCCUCGCCUUGCUAGUCCCACCAGUUUCCAACGUGCAGAGGAUGUUUACCCUCCGGAGCAAGGCCAGGAUGGCACUGAGGUCAGAAACCUGCUUCACCGCAGGAAGAUACCUGAGGCGGGACCCCACCCACUCGCUCCGAGCGUGGCCAAGGGUGCGGAGAUGGAGGCUGGGAAACUUCACCCCACCCGACCAGUAAACGCCUCCGUGACUCCCCAGCCUGCCAGGCAUCCCUCCCGAGAUCCGAGACCCAGCCCUCCUUCCCCUAGCACUGGCCAGGCCCGGACGCACGCUGAACCGCGGGAGACCGCUGAGGGGGCUCUGGGUGUCCCCACCCCACAGUGGCUGUCGGGAUUGAGGUUCAGGGCUGUGGAGAGGGGGUUCCCAUAAACCGCUUCAGCUCACCCCCUGUUCACUUUAAGACUUGUGCCCUGCCUGAGGCAUCCCCUGCCAAACGGAAGGAGAUUUCUGAUCUCCUCCCCCCACCCCCCAACCGGGCUGAGCGACUCCUCUUCUCUCUUGGGGAGGAGGAGCCAGGAGGCAGAGGAAACCUGAGAACUUGCACCGUUCCACCGCCCAGGGGUUGGGGGUUCGGAGGGUUGGGAAGUGAAUCCCAGUUUGCGGGGAAGAAGGGGUGGCAGCCUCCUCCCUCUCCUUCUCCAGGUCCUCCAAGGACUGAUUCCCCGCCCUCAGAACCCAGAAGGGGUUAAUAUUUCACCAGCUACCCCCUUCCUGCCACCUGGAGGCUCCGGAAAGGCCCGUCCCCGAGCCCAGCCGCCAACUGGUCCCAGGUUGGGUCAGGCAGCCCCCAGGGUGGCCCCUCCUCACCUGCGCAGGCCCCCACCCAACGCGUCUGCCUGAGCACGUCGCCUCGGCCCCCGCCUGACCCCAGCACACUGAUAAGCCCCCAGACGGCCAAACAUCGUUAACUUCUUUGCUUUUCUAGAUUUCUCUGCCUGUCCUUUCCCCGACCCGGAGCUGAGGGGUCGCCAGGGUGUGUGUCUGUAUUUCUCCCAGGGGCUGGCCUUCGGAGCACCACACAUCAGGCCUUUUGCCACACAUGCUCUCCCCCAGCCUCAUGCUUCUGGACUGGAACCAACUUUCUGUGAGACCCAGUUGGCCUAAAAUAGUGUUCCUUCACCCUCUACCCCAUCACAACUCUCCUUGCCGGUGUAGACUCUGCCUCAGAAGAGCUCCAGGAAACAGUAAAAAUUAAGAGAGAGAAAGGGGAAGUUGAUGUCAGAGAAUGUCAACAGCAAUUUCAGAAACUGAAGCUUAAAAUCCUUCUCAGCUCAACCCUGAGUAUGGGGGGAGGGAGAAGUGCUGGAUUGUCCACUGGGACUGUGUAACCGAAUAAUGUUCUCAGUUUCUUAUUUCCCUUUGCUUUCUUAGACUUUGCUCAAAAAAAAAAAAAAAACCUCAUAUUGAUAGGAGACAGUGUCUACACCAAAACAAGCUGUUGCUGGGAAACUUGAGGAUGAUGGUGUUUUUCCCCUGGUAUCACGAAGCGUGGACAAAGGCCGUGUGGGUCACAGCCCCAGGUUCACAGACCAUCUGUCCAGGGUGGAGGGAGCCACCCAUAGAAAGCUGGUCAUUCUCACAGCAGCUGCUUGCUUCAUGCGCCCCCACUGCCGCCAGUGACACCAGUUCUGCCCUCGAAUUCUCCCCUACCUCUCUUCUCCUCACUCCUUCUCCCAAGGAGAGGGCCCCUGGAAAAGAUCCUUGGGAGACCGGCUCAGACCAAGGAGGCAGGAUGGGGGCAGGGGGAAGUGGCAUCCACAG
ensembl:lncRNA